AUUAGGCACAUCAUUUUGUCCCUUAAAAUCUGUAAAGACUCAUCAUCAAAAACCUUUUAUUACUCAUUAUAGAGAUAAUCUUAAUAGUUGACAUAAACUUUCUAUGAGUGUUUGAAAUGUAUUAUUAAAUGGCCCUCACGGGCUUGCAAAAAUUGCCGUAGCGGACGGUAUUUCACGUCCUCAUGGCGGGGUAUUGGUUAAAGUUUUCAACUAGCAAUAAUCGCACCUCAGUAGAACUUCAUUGGUUACGAUAAUGCCUC
rnacentral:lncRNA from 1 species